GGUCUUUUUUGGACUGCAGGGGGCGCUCCUCUGCACCCUGUUUGACUGUGGUAGCAUCACUCUGUGGUGUUAGAGCAGCAGUUUAUCUACAGCUGAAAGGAAGUGGUUAGAGAAGCGAAUCAGGAAGGCCAGCUCUGUGACAGGACACCCCCUCCACCCAGAGCAGGUGGGAGCUGUGGCUGAACAAGAGAGCUCCUUCAGUGACAGAUCGCUGCAUCCUAAGUGCUCAAAGGAGUUUUAUCACAGAUCCUUCCUCACAGCAGCUAACACUCUAUAACAAUCACUGUUCCCUACCACCUCAACAUACCCUGCUGUGAUACUGAGGGCAUGGACACUUGUGCCAGCGCUACAAGGAGAAAUAUAGUGAGUGUCAAAGUAAAAGAAGAGGCGUUCUUUCAUCCAAACAGAAGGAAGUAACUGUCUGUCUAGGUUGCAGGAUGGAAGUUGGAUGGUGGAUAUUCUGGAAACUGACAGUCAGCCAACAUCCCGCCCUUGGAGACUUCUGUUCCAAGGGCACAGAUAUGGCCAUUCACCUGGGGAGCUUCAGAAAAUAUCUAGACUUGGAGGGAUUUGAGGGUGAAUGCUAUCAUUGCUGGAUUACUGGAAGAAGCAGGCACCAUUGAUCCAGGUCCAGCAUAUACCACCCAGGGGACGAAUCAAAUGAAACUCUCAAACUGGAGCAAAGAACCUUUGCAAAAUAGCUCAAUCGUUGUUGUGGUAGUUGUUAUGUUUUUGUGGCACAUUAAGUUUUUAAAGG